UAUGGCCUACAUGUAUUGGUU
rnacentral:piRNA from 1 species